rnacentral:rRNA from 1 species
CCUACGGGUGGCAGCAGUGGGGAAUAUUGCACAAUGGGGGAAACCCUGAUGCAGCGACGCCGCGUGAGUGAAGAAGUAAUUAGUUAUGUAAAACCCUAUCAGCAGGGAAGAAAAUGACGGUACCUGCGUACGAAGCCACGGCUAACUACGGGCCAGCAGCCGCGGUAAUACGGAGGGGGCAAGCGUUAUCCGGAUUUGAUGGGUGUAAAGGGAGCGUGGACGGCAGUGCAAGUCUGGAGCGAAAGGCGGGGGCUCCACCCCCGGCCUGCUCUGGAAACUGUAGGGCUGGAGUGCAGGAGAGGUAAGUGGAAUUCGUAGUGUAGCGGUGAAAUGCGUAGAUAUUACGAGGAACCCCAGUGGCGAAGGCGGCUUACUGGACUGUAACUGACGUUGAGGCUCGAAAGCGUGGGGAGCGAACAGGAUUAGAUACCCCUGUAGUC